GACGAACGCUGGCGGCGUGCUUAACACAUGCAAGUCGAGCGGUAAGGCCCUUCGGGGUACACGAGCGGCGAACGGGUGAGUAACACGUGAGCAACCUGCCCCUGACUCCGGGAUAGGCGGUGGAAACGCCGUCUAAUACCGGAUACGACACGCCACCUCAUGGUGGCGGGUGGAAAGUUUUAUCGGUCAGGGAUGGGCUCGCGGCCUAUCAGCUUGUUGGUGGGGUAACGGCCUACCAAGGCGAUUACGGGUAGCCGGCCUGAGAGGGCGACCGGCCGCACUGGGACUGAGAGACGGCCCAGACUCCUGCGGGAGGCAGCAGUGGGGAAUAUUGCGCAAUGGGCAAAAGCCUGACGCAGCGACGCCGCAUGGGGGAUGACGGCCUUCGGGUUGUAAACCUCUUUUACCACCAACGCAGGCUCCCGGUUCUCCGGGGGUUGACGGUAGGUGGGGAAUAAGGACCGGCUAACUACGUGCCAGCCGCCGCGGUAAUAC
rnacentral:rRNA from 1 species